GAAUACUGAAAACUAAAAAUAGUGUAAGCCAUAUCUCAAAAAAAAGAACAGGAAAAGAAAGUUAUAAAGAUCAAACAGGAAUCAAAUAAAGAGUUAUGAGCAUACACAAAAAAAAAAAGGAAGAGAAGAGACUUGUCCAAUUUGGUUGAGGUGUAGAGGAUAUGGGGAAGAGUAAUAGGUAGGGUGGGGAAGGCAGGCAGUAAAGGUGCUGAAUGCAAGAAUAAGGAGCUUGGAUUUUUAAUCAAGGAAGCAAAGGAAGCAACUGAACACUUUGUUUUGUUUUUUCAGUUGAGGCCUGAUAUAACCACAUGGCACAAAGGAAAUUAUUCUGGCAGUAGUAUGAAAAGGAUAGAGAAGAGAAUGAAGGUGUUAGGACCUGUUGGGAGAUUACUGCAAUAGUGCAGACACAUCUGUCUGAAGCAAGUUCAAGACGCGAGAGAGAAUCUGGAAAAAGUAUUGUCCUUGUCAUGAAAAACAUCCUCAGUAGCAGAAACAAUAAUCGAAGGAAAGCAGCUGCUGCUAUGAAAACAAAAGGAUUUGAGCAGAACAUGCAGGAGAACUGGUCUGGGUCCCUGAGAGGAACAUUCCCACCUGUCAGCAUACUGACCAGAGGGCUAGAGACCCUGAGCAUCAAAGGAAAAACCCGUCAGAGAGACAAGGGGAGGAGGAAGGCGAGACCGAGAAGAUGAAGAGCCAAUAAUAAGAUGUUGACUGUCCUUUUUGCAAUGAUGACUGUCGCAGGUGGCUCUGGGACGGAGUUGUGAUUAUAUUGGACUUAUAUGCCUUACCCACCUUGGGGUUAAACCUGUAACUUGAAAUGUGAUUACCACUAUACUUUUGUUUGUGUAACUCCCUAUUUGCUUUCUAAUACUAUCAAUGUAACUCCUGAUCAAAUACUGAAUAAGCUUCAGGGCGCUUGGCAUUCCAGAAAUAUAACGUGGAUGGUAUUGAUUCUCAAGAUAUUGCUUAUAAGUUGUCGUACUAUAUCAAGCAACUUAACACUUUCCAGAAUAUUUCAAAUUUGCUGUUGCAUUUUGUACCCUGAUAGUAUUCUUGUUACUCUUGAGUUUUCUCCUGAUGCGCAUCCCACGUUCCCAAGCUAGAACAGAAAAAAGGGGGAGAUGUAGAAGGCCAGCUCUAGGGAGUUGGAGGGCUUAGGCCAGCCCGGGUCUUACCUG